rnacentral:rRNA from 1 species
UGGGGAAUAUUGCACAAUGGAGGGAACUCUGAUGCAGCGACGCCGCGUGAGUGAUGAAGGAAUUCGUUUCGUAAAACUCUGUUCUAUGGGAAGAAAAGGACUGUACCAUAGGAGAAAGCUCCGUCUAAAUACGUGCCAGCAGCCGCGGUAAUACGUAUGGAGCGAGCGUUGUCCGGAAUUAUUGGGCGUAAAGGGUGCGCAGGCGGCUUUACAAGUUGGAUGUGAAAUAUUGUGGCUCAACCACAAACGUGCAUCCAAAACUGCAAAGCUUGAGUUGAGGAGUGGUAAGUGGAAUUCCUGGUGUAACAGUGGAAUGCGUAGAUAUCAGGAGGAAUACCGGUGGGGAAGGCGACUUACUGGACUUGAACUGACGCUCAGGCACGAAAACGUGGGGAGCAAACAGG